UACGAAGGGUGCAAGCGUUACUCGGAAUUACUGGGCGUAAAGCGUGCGUAGGUGGUUUGUUAAGUCUGAUGUGAAAGCCCUGGGCUCAACCCGGGAAUUGCAUUGGAUACUGGCAGGCUAGAGUGCGGUAGAGGAUGGCGGAAUUCCCGGUGUAGCAGUGAAAUGCGUAGAGAUCGGGAGGAAUACCGGUGGCGAAAGCGACUCUCUGGACGGCAACUGACGCUGAGGCACGAAAGCGUGGGGAGCAAACAGG
rnacentral:rRNA from 1 species